UGUAACUAAUACAAUGGAUUCUGUAUGUUUUUCAGAACAGAUUUGUCUUCUGGAAUAUGAUCUGAGGUGAAUUUAACUGGCCCUGAAGCAGGCUGACCGAGCAGGUUACCAUGGUGUUUUAGCCAGUGCCAGUCCUGUGGGAUCCUGGGCUAUAAACUCAAAGUCGGCUUGCGAACACACUAACCUUGAGAGCAGGCCCUGCAGUGUGCCUUUCUCUUCAGCCACUCAUUCAUGUGAAAAAGUGAAGAUGAGUCCUCCUUUCCUGCAUUCUCUGCCCAUCUGCCACCCUCUCUCAACUCAGAGUAUUUCCAGUUAAUGAAAACGUCUUCCACGGACAAUCUGCUAUUUUGCGCUACAGGUGUGUGCAUAUCAUACUUUAAAUACAUAUGUGGGCAUAA